AUGAACCUAUUUGAAGUGGCCCAUUUCAUACCAGAAAAGCCCAUGUAUGAACAAGGGUUGAUUUUACUUCCACAGUUAGCUACUCUAGGUUGGGAGUAGGGCCAAGGGGAAGUUCUAGAUACUUUUCCGUAAUUUGUAUCUGGCGUACUUCACAUAAUUUCCUCCGCAGUCUUAGGCUUCGGUAGCAUUUAUCACGCGCUUCUGGGACCCAAGACUCUUGAGGAAUCUUUUCCAUUCUUUGGUUAUGUCUGGAAAGAUAGAAAUAAAAUGACUACAAUUUUGGGUAUUCACUUAAUUUUGUAAGGUCUAGGUGCUUUUCUUCUAGUACUCAAGGAUCUUUAUUUUGGCGGUGUAUAUGAUACCUGGUCCCCUGGGGGAGAUGUAAGAAAAAUUACCAAUUUGACCCUUAGUCCCAGUGUUAUAUUUGGUUAUUUACUAAAAUCUCCUUUUGGUGGAGAAGGGUGGAUUGUUAGUGUAGAUGAUUUAGAAGAUACAAUUGUUGGGCAUGUAUGGUUGGGUUUUAUUUGUGUAUUUGGCGGAAUUUGGCAUAUUUUAACCAAACCCUUCGCAUGGGCUCGCCGUGCAUUUGUAUGGUCUGGAGAAGCAUACUUGUCUUAUAGUUUAGCUGGUCUAACGUAA
rnacentral:rRNA from 1 species